rnacentral:ncRNA from 1 species
UAAACGCUGCCACCGGGUAGCAGAUGCACAAAGCAUCCAUUUACAUAUCGUUAGGUCUUAGAAGAUGUGUAUGCGGAUGCUAAUUUUUU